GACGAACGCUGGCGGCGUGCCUAACACAUGCAAGUCAACUUGAAGGAAGGAGCAAUCUGACCUGAUGGUGGCGCAAGGGUGCGUAACGCGUAAGUAACUUGCCCAAGGUAAGGAAUAACGUCGAGAAAUCGGCGCUAAUACCUCAUAAUGCAGCGGACCCGCAUGGGUAUGUUGUUAAAGGUUUACCGCCUUGGGAUAGGCUUGCGUCUGAUUAGCUAGUUGGUGUGGUAACGGCACACCAAGGCUACGAUCAGUAACUGGUCUGAGAGGAUGAUCAGUCACACUGGAACUGAGACACGGUCCAGACUCCUACGGGAGGCAGCAGUGAGGAAUAUUGGGCAAUGCACGAAAGUGUGA
rnacentral:rRNA from 1 species